rnacentral:rRNA from 1 species
UAGGGAAUCUUCGGCAAUGGACGAAAGUCUGACCGAGCAACGCCGCGUGAGUGAAGAAGGUUUUCGGAUCGUAAAACUCUGUUGUUAGAGAAGAACAAGGACGUUAGUAACUGAACGUCCCCUGACUGUAUCUAACCAGAAAGCCACGGCUAACUACGUGCCAGCAGCCGCGGUAAUACGUAGGUGGCAAGCGUUGUCCGGAUUUAUUGGGCGUAAAGCGAGCGCAGGCGGUUUCUUAAGUCUGAUGUGAAAGCCCCCGGCUCAAACGGAGAGGGUCAUUGGAAACUGGGAGACUUGAGUGCAGAAGAGGAGAGUGGAAUUCCAUGUGUAGCGGUGAAAUGCGUAGAUAUAUGGAGGAACACAAGUGGCGAAGGCGGCUCUCUGGUCUGUAACUGACGCUGAGGCUCGAAAGAGUGGGGAGCAAACAGG